UACGAAGGGGGCUAGCGUUGCUCGGAAUCACUGGGCGUAAAGGGUGCGUAGGCGGGUCUUUAAGUCAGGGGCGAAAUCCCGGAGCUCAACUCCAGAACUGCCUUUGAUACUGAGGAUCUUGAGUUCGGGAGAGGUGAGUGGAACUGCGAGUGUAGAGGUGAAAUUCGUAGAUAUUCGCAAGAACACCAGUGGCGAAGGCGGCUCACUGGCCCGAUACUGACGCUGAGGCACGAAAGCGUGGGGAGCAAACAGG
rnacentral:rRNA from 1 species